GGAAUAUCCACCUUCAGUUGUAUGUCAAUUUUGCCUGGCAACAAGUUGAAAGACUCUAUGUGAUCAAUAGAAUUUUCUGCCAAUGCUGCAUCAGCAGCACAUACUCGUUCCAGAGGAGAUGAGGACCAGUAAGGAAACCCAAGGAUCCCCAAAUUAGAAAACUGGAAGCUUGAUAGAGAACUCGAGUUCCUAUUGAGUUUUAAUACCGUUUGACCAACUGUAUCACAAAUGAGUAUCUG
rnacentral:misc_RNA from 1 species